rnacentral:rRNA from 1 species
CCUACGGGAUGCAGCAGUCGAGAAUCAUUCACAAUGGGGGAAACCCUGAUGGUGCGACGCCGCGUGGGGGAAUGAAGGUCUUCGGAUUGUAAACCUCUUUUGUCGGGGAGCAAAGAGAGUCACGUGUGACUCAUUGAGAGUACCCGAAGAAAAAGCAUCGGCUAACUCCGUGUCAGCAGCCGCGGUAAUACGGAGGAUGCGAGCGUUAUCCGGAUUUAUUGGGUUUAAAGGGUGCGCAGGCGGAGGUGCAAGUCAGCGGUCAAAUUGCGGGGCUCAACCCCGUACUGCCGGUGAAACUGCAUCCCUUGAGUGCGCGAGAAGUAUGCGGAAUGCGUGGUGGAGCGGUGAAAUGCAUAGAUAUCACGCAGAACUCCGAUUGCGAAGGCAGCAUACCGGCGCGCAACUGACGCUCAUGCACGAAAGCGUGGGUAUCGAACAGGAUUAGAUACCCUAGUAGUC